rnacentral:rRNA from 1 species
GAUGAACGCUAGCGACAGGCUUAACACAUGCAAGUCGAGGGGCAGCACGGGAGUAGCAAUACAACUGGUGGCGACCGGCGCACGGGUGAGUAACGCGUAUGCAACCUACCUAUCAGAGGGGAAUAACCCGGCGAAAGUCGGACUAAUACCGCAUAAAACAGGGGCACCGCAAGGUGAUAUUUGUUAAAGAAAUUCGCUGAUAGAUGGGCAUGCGUUCCAUUAGGUAGUUGGUGAGGUAACGGCUCACCAAGCCGACGAUGGAUAGGGGAACUGAGAGGUUGGUCCCCCACACUGGUACUGAGACACGGACCAGACUCCUACGGGAGGCAGCAGUGAGGAAUAUUGGUCAAUGGGCGGGAGCCUGAACCAGCCAAGUCGCGUGAAGGAAGAAGGAUCUAUGGUUCGUAGACUUCUUUUGCAGGGGAAUAAAGUGCAGGACGUGUCCUGUUUUGUAUGUACCCUGAGAAUAAGGAUCGGCUAACUCCGUGCCAGCCGCCGCGGUAACAC